rnacentral:rRNA from 1 species
UGGGGAAUAUUGGACAAUGGGCGCAAGCCUGAUCCAGCCAUGCCGCGUGAGUGAUGAAGGCCCUAGGGUUGUAAAGCUCUUUCAGCGAGGAGGAUAAUGACGUUACUCGCAGAAGAAGCCCCGGCUAACUUCGUGCCAGCAGCCGCGGUAAUACGAAGGGGGCUAGCGUUGUUCGGAAUCACUGGGCGUAAAGCGCACGUAGGCGGACUUUUAAGUCAGGGGUGAAAUCCCGGGGCUCAACCUCGGAACUGCCUUUGAUACUGGAAGUCUGGAGUCCGAGAGAGGUGAGUGGAACUCCGAGUGUAGAGGAUNGAAAUUCGUAGAUAUUCGGAAGAACACCAGUGGCGAAGGCGGCUCACUGGCUCGGUACUGACGCUGAGGUGCGAAAGCGUGGGGAGCAAAACAGGAUUAGAUACCCUGGUAGUCCACGCCGUAAAACGAUGGAAGCUAGCCGUCAGGGUGAUGCAUCUUGGUGGCGCAGUUAACGCAUUAAGCUUCCCGCCUGGGGGAGUACGGUCGCAA